rnacentral:tRNA from 1 species
UCCCUGGUGGUCCAGUGGCUAAGACUCUGUGCUUCCAGCGAAGGGGGCUCAGGUUCAAUCCCUGGUCAGGGAA